UUUUGCGCAAUGGGGGAAACCCUGACGCAGCAACGCCGCGUGAAGGAUGAAGGCUUUCGGGUUGUAAACUUCUUUUAGCAGGAAAGAAACAAAUGACGGUACCUGCAGAAAAAGCACCGGCUAACUCUGUGCCAGCAGCCGCGGUAAUACAGAGGGUGCAAGCGUUAUUCGGAAUUACUGGGCAUAAAGAGCGCGUAGGCGGUCUGAUAAGUCUGAUGUGAAAGCCCUGGACUCAAUCCAGGAAGUGCAUUAGAUACUGUUAGACUUGAGUACAGGAGAGGAGAACGGAAUUCCAGGUGUAGAGGUGAAAUUCGUAGAUAUCAGGAGGAACAACAGAGGCGAAGGCGGUUCUCUGACUUAACUACGCUAGCGCGCAG
rnacentral:rRNA from 1 species